rnacentral:rRNA from 1 species
AACGCGAAGAACCUUACCCAGAUUUGACAUGCUUGUGAAACUCUAUUGAAAAAUAGGGCUUCUCUUCGGAGACACUUGCACAGGUGGUGCAUGGCUGUCGUCAGCUCGUGCCGUGAGGUGUUGGGUUAAGUCCCGCAACGAGCGCAACCCUCGUCCUUAGUUGAAUUUCUAGGGAGACUGCCGGGAGAAACCUGGAGGAAGGUGGGGAUGACGUCAAGUCAUCAUGCCCUUUAUGUCUGGGGCUACACACAUGCUACAAUGGCCGGCACAACGGGUUGCCACUUCGCGAGAAGGAGCUAAUCCCUUAAAUCCGGCCUCAGUUCGGAUUGCAGGCUGCAACUCGCCUGCAUGAAGUCGGAGUUGCUAGUAAACGCAGGUCAGCAUACUGCGUUGAAUAUGUUCCCGGGCCUUGUACACACCGCGAGC